AAGGCUGUAGUUUUACCACUAAACUACACCCGCUAAAAUGGGAACUACAGCCUUCCAAGCUGUUGUCGCGAGUUCGAUUCUCGUCACCC
rnacentral:tRNA from 1 species